AUUGAACGCUGGCGGCAGGCCUAACACAUGCAAGUCGAACGAGUGGCGGACGGGUGAGUAAUGUCUGGGAAACUGCCUGAUGGAGGGGGAUAACUACUGGAAACGGUAGCUAAUACUGCAUACCAUCAGAUGUGCCCAGAUGGGAUUAGCUUGCUGGUGGGGUAACGGCUCACCAAGGCGACGAUACCUAGCUGGUCUGAGAGGAUGACCAGCCACACUGGAACGGAGACACGGUCCAGACUCCUACGGGAGACAGCAGUGGGGAAUAUUGGACAAUGGGCGAAAGCGUGGUGCAGCAAUGCCGCGUGUAUGAAGAGGGCCUUCGGAUUGUAAAGUACUUUCAGCGGGGAGGCGUUACCCGCAGAAGAAGCGCCGGCUAACUCCGUGCCAGCAGCCGCGGUAAUAC
rnacentral:rRNA from 1 species